rnacentral:misc_RNA from 1 species
GUCACUCUUUCUUUGUCCUUGACAUUUUGUCUGCUCAGCCAUUCAUUUUUACGCGUAGACUAGAUGGUUAAAUUAAAUUUGUGGCUUCAAAUGGUAAUGAUAUUUGCUACUGAAUGUUUUUAAACUGAGGUUAUUUUGGUUGGGCAAUAAUGUCUCAACCAUUAGCAAGUCUGAGGAUGCUUGCAUAUGUCCUGGACUAGAUCAACCAUUACAGCUCUCCAUUUGAUGUUCCUUACCUUUAAAUUUAAAUUUUGUGUGCUCAGCCAGUCAUUUUUAUGUGAAGACUUGAUGGCUAAAUUAAACUUGUGGCUUUUAGCGGUAAUGAUAUUUACCACUGAAUGGUUUUAAACUGAGGUUAUUUUGGUUGGGCAAUAAUGUCUCAACCAUUAGCA